AUGGCUAAUUUGAAAAAAAGGAAAAUAGUUGAAACUGAUAUCUGUAUGAUUUGUGGGAUGGAACGCGAGAACACAUUCCAUGUGUUUUGCAGAUGUCCGCGUGCUCUGGAGCUUUGGUGUACUAUGGAGAAGACAUGGCGCAUGCCAAGACUUAAGACCGUCGUCAACACUGGACCGGACUGGCUACUGCAGCUUCUCCACCAGUGUAGCGAGGACGAGCGUCUCCAUGUGCUCAUGACAGUGUGGCGUAUAUGGCAUGUCCACAAUGAGAUUACACACCACAAGCCGCCGCCUCCAGUUGAAGCCUCCCGACGCUUCCUUUCAAGUUAUAUUGAGUCGCUCAUGUGCCUCCGUCAACACGCAAAUGCAGAUAUGUUGAAAGGAAAGAUGGCGUUGAGGACUGAUCAUACGUUCAAGCAGAGGGGAGAUUUCUCAUCUCCUGUGGACAACUCCCGGCCGCUGGAAAAGUGGACCAAGCCCCCUAUAGGUUGGUGCAAACUGAACGUCGACGGUGCUUUUGCUGAAGCGGACGGGACCGGAGCUGCAGGUAUGAUCCUGCGAAAUCAUCACGGCGCUGUGAUCUUUGCCUCGUGCCGAUUCCUGCCGAGGUGUUCGAGUGCGCUUGAAGCCAAGAUCGCAACAUGUAUGGAGGGUGUAUCUCUCACACUUGAAUGGAGCUCUGAUCCUUUCAUCCUGGAGACGGACUGUACAACUGUCGUAGCUAUGAUCAUUGAGGCAACAGUUAAUAGGUCGCCAGUUGCAUCGUUAGUGGAAGAAACAAAGCGUUUGUUGGGUCUGGGACGUGAGCAUGGGAUAGCACAUGUUAGGAGAGAUGGGAAUCAGGUGAGCCAUGAGCUUGCUCAGAUGGGUAGUAUGGGGUGA
rnacentral:rRNA from 1 species